AAUAAUUAGGAUCGCAAUGGCGCGCACAGAGUGGAAUAUGAUGAGGGGAAUGAGAAUCUACAAAGUUGCUGACGUGUACUCACGGGACCUUAAAAGUAGCAAUAUAGUGCCCCGUCUGCUUCUCCGUCUCCGUCUCCUUCCACUCCAAAGAAAACUUUUUCCUUUUCCUUUGUACAACUUUCUACUGGCAGGAGCCUCUGGCUCUGAGCCUCAGCCCGAAGCCUAAAACCUCAGAGAUUCCAACUCUCUAGCCCUAAUCUCAUCGCCUUCUUCACAUCCUAACCUCUAAUUCACCCUUUUUUUCUUCACUUAGGUAUGAAGCUUGUUUCCCAGGCGCAUCCAUCAUAUUGUGUUCCAACUGAGAUAAGUAAAACAAGUCAAAAUGUGGUUUUUGGUGUGACUAAUAGAAUAGAGGCAUCUAAACAGAAGGAAAAAUGUUUUAGAUUCUCUUCAUUGUUGUGUAACUCUAUCAAGACACCUGGGGUUCCAAGAGAAUGUCUAAGAAUCAGAAGAGGGAAUCAGUUGGUUGUUGCUGCAAGCCCUCCUACAGAGGAUACUGUGAUCGCUGCAGAACCACUAACUAAAGAGGAUCUCGUAGGAUACCUUGCCUCUGGUUGCAAGCCUAAGGAAAAAUGGAGAAUAGGUACAGAACAUGAGAAGUUUGGAUUUGAACUUGGAACUUUACGCCCUAUGAAAUAUGAACAAAUUGCGGACUUGCUUAAUGGUAUUGCUGAGAGAUUUGAUUGGGAGAAAAUAAUGGAGGGUGACAAUAUUAUAGGACUCAAACAGGGAAAGCAGAGCAUAUCACUAGAGCCUGGUGGUCAGUUUGAGCUUAGUGGUGCGCCACUUGAAACUUUGCAUCAAACUUGUGCCGAAGUUAAUUCACACCUUUAUCAGGUGAAAGCUGUUGCAGAGGAAAUGGGAAUUGGAUUUUUAGGAAUUGGCUUCCAGCCCAAAUGGGCAGUUAAAGACAUACCUGUUAUGCCCAAGGGAAGAUAUGAGAUCAUGAGGAAUUACAUGCCUAAAGUUGGUUCAUUAGGACUUGAUAUGAUGUUUAGGACAUGCACCGUACAGGUUAAUCUGGAUUUCAGUUCUGAAGCUGACAUGAUAAGGAAAUUUCGCGCUGGGCUUGCUUUGCAGCCGAUAGCAACAGCUCUUUUUGCAAAUUCACCUUUCACUGAAGGAAAGCCAAAUGGUUAUCUCAGCAUGAGAAGCCACAUUUGGACUGAUACUGAUAACAACCGCACUGGCAUGCUGCCUUUUGUUUUUGAUGACUCAUUUGGGUUUGAGCAGUAUGUUGAUUUUGCACUUGAUGUUCCAAUGUAUUUUGUUUAUCGGAAGAAGAAGUAUAUUGACUGCACUGGAAUGUCAUUCAGGGACUUUAUGGCUGGAAAACUUCCUUGCAUUCCUGGUGAAUUGCCGAACCUUAAUGAUUGGGAGAAUCACUUAACAACAAUUUUUCCUGAGGUCAGAUUGAAGCGAUACUUGGAAAUGAGAGGUGCUGAUGGAGGACCUUGGAGGAGAUUGUGUGCAUUGCCAGCAUUUUGGGUAGGAUUGUUGUAUGAUGAAAUCUCUCUUCAAAAUGUUAUGGAUAUGGUAGCUGAUUGGACUCCUAAAGAAACACAAAUGCUGAGGAAUAAGGUUCCAAAGACUGGUCUAAAGACACCAUUUCGGGAUGGAUUACUGAAGCAUGUUGCUGAAGAUGUUCUAAAGUUUGCUAAGGAUGGCUUAGAAAGGAGAGGCUUUAAGGAAAUUGGUUUUUUGAAUGAGGUGGCUGAAGUGGUUAGAACAGUCGGAGGUUUGAGCUUAUGCAUUGCUUGAAUAUUUCAAGUCCCACCAACUUGGGCUUUUUAAGUGUCUGAAUGCCUUGGGGUUAGGAUAUGUUUGGUUCAAGCCAUAGCGAGUUUCUGACUUGAACAAGUGUAACACCAGCUGAGAAGCUUUUGGAGUUGUAUAAUGGAAAGUGGGGGCAAUCUGUAGAUCCUGUUUUUGAGGAAUUACUCUACUAAGGUGAAUUAGAUUGCUGAGGCACUUUAGUAGUGGCCUUUUUCUGAACUGAAUUGUUGGAUGUAAGCUGCUUGUUUCUGUUUUCAACUCCUUUCCAAUCUGUGGCUAGUGAUAGAUUAUUUCACAGGAAUAAAAAUUAUCAUGUAAAUCCUUGGUAUGAGGAUUCUUAUGUAACUCCUUGAAUAUGACCAUAUGAAGCUUCACACAACUCAUUUCCAAAAUUAACGAGCUGAUUAUGAUAUUUUUAGACUUCUUAUGUGUA